AUUUAGACACGUGAUGUUUUCGCACAGCUCCGACGGCCCUGCCUUCUCUCCGGAGCUCAGUGUCGCACACGGCAUGCGAAUUUUGCCAGAGCAGCUGUGUGAGGCCUUGAGGUAUCAUCAUGGUAGAUGUGCUCAUCAUCUGUGCUCUCUUGUUGCUCAGGCUCCCAGAAUCAUCUCUAAGUAGCAGUGUUGUCCAGUCUCCUCUUGACCUGGUUAAGCAACUAGGAGAAUCUGCUCAGUUCAACUGUUCGCACAGCAUACAGAACUACGAUCGAAUGUUCUGGUAUACAAUGUCUAAAUCAGGGGACACUCUGCAAUGCCUUGGCAACCUUUUCUAUACAGAUCCAACUCUGGAGCCUGGCAUCGACAGCAGGUUUGUGAUGAAAGGUGAUGGGAGAAACAAUGGUACCUUGACCAUCUCCAACCUCAACUUAUCAGACAGUGGAACGUAUUUCUGCGCUGCGAGCCAACACAGUGCUGCAGACUGCAUCCGGCUCUUUGCAAAAACUGUUCCAGUUCACUGUUACUCUACACUUUGAUACUGAUCUGAGUUCCUUUGCUUACAAUGAACCACUUCAGACAAGCAUUAUUUUGCCACCCAUACACACACUGACAUAUGCACACAAAUAGGGGCGGCACGGAGGCACAGUGAGUAGCGCUGCUGUCUCACAGCACCUGGGUGGUGCGAGAGAACGUGGGUUUGAUCCCUGCUCAGUCUGUGUGGAGUUUGCAUGUUCUCUCUGUGCCUGUGUGGGUUUCCUCCGGGUGCUCUGGUUUCCUCCCACAGUCCAAAGACAUGCUGUUCAGGUUCCCCCAUAGUGUGUGGGUGUGUUUCACUGAU
rnacentral:lncRNA from 1 species